AAAUUGUGUUAUUUUAAGAAAUAAUAUUUUAUUUGAAUCUCUAAUUGACUUUUCUUGACCGCAUGUAUACAAUGUCGUUUCCUAGACGAUGCGGUUUGCAUUGUUGAUGAUUAUUUUGACUGACGUCGCCAUUUAUCAAAAAAUAUUAAAUUCAGAUUAUAAUUGUGUGGAAAAUAUUUCUGGGACUGAAUAGAAGGAAUGAAGUAUUAUACAGAUUGCAAAUUGCGUGAUCAUAGAGUGAGAGCAUUACACAAGUGUCCCGGCAUCUAAGGUGAGUUUAGCUUCUUUUGUUUAUGUUGUUUGAAUAUUAAAUUGAUAUUAACACCAUUCAUAUAUUAUGCUAU